rnacentral:rRNA from 1 species
UGCAGAAUCCCGUGAACCAUCGAGUCUUUGAACGCAAGUUGCGCCCGAAGCCAUUAGGCCGAGGGCACGUCUGCCUGGGCGUCU